rnacentral:rRNA from 1 species
GGAGUUUGGGCCGUGUCUCAGUCCCAAUGUGGCCGUUCAUCCUCUCAGACCGGCUACUGAUCGUCGCCUUGGUGGGCCGUUGCCCCGCCAACUAGCUAAUCGGACGCAAGCUCAUCCCCUGUCGAUAAAUCUUUUGUCAACCUCCCAUGGGGGAGGCCACGAUAUCCGGUAUUACCCGCGCGUUGGCACGGCUAUUCCCGAACAGGGGGCAGAUUGCUUACGCGUUACUCACCCGUUCGCCGCUAUGCAUUGCUGCACCGCUCGACUUGCAUGUAUAAGACACGCCACCAGCGUUCGUU